AAAAAAUUCCCUUGGCCAAAGAGGCUCUACAUCGGCUUCUACAUCCCCAAUUUCCAUCAGCUCUCUCAAUCUAUCCAACGUAGAAGGUUGAGAUGGCUUAAAAUGUUCAACAUUUCCCCCUUAAAGUUACCGACUGGCUCUAACUUGAACAGUCCAGGAAUCUCAUCUAUAGCCUUCAGCUUGAUGAGGCUCGGAGGUAGCUUGGGAAGCGAUUGGAGGCUUGGGCAUGCAUCUAGCCAAAGUUCCUG